rnacentral:rRNA from 1 species
UACGUAGGGUGCAAGCGUUGUCCGGAAUUAUUGGGCGUAAAGAGCUUGUAGGCGGUUUGUCGCGUCUGCUGUGAAAUCCCGAGGCUCAACCUCGGGCCUGCAGUGGGUACGGGCAGACUGGAGUGCGGUAGGGGGAGAAUGGAAUUCCUGGUGUAGCGGUGGAAUGCGCAGAUAUCAGGAGGAACACCGAUGGCGAAGGCAGUUCUCUGGGCCGUAACUGACGCUGAGGAGCGAAAGCGUGGGGAGCGAACAGG